UGUGACAUUAAUUCUGCAGAAUAGUGUACAUUAGAUACUUAAGGUAUUUUAUAACUUCUAACUAACAGAGGGUGUCUUAAAUAUUUCAUGGCUUAAUCUAAAGUUUGAGCGCUUGUUGCAAGUGGGCGCAAGUCCUGGGAGGCAGCGAGUCCGGAGGGCGGUGGUCCUGUUCAUGGUAAAGUGGGGUUUUGUCGAUGAGUUGUUUAAGAAUUGGCGGGAGAGAGUUAUCAAAAGAUUGAAGAAGAGCAGUUUGGGGGUGACGAUAUAUUGUUUGGGGACAAUAGUGAUUCGGUUUAAGAGACGGUUUGCGGCUGAGUAUUUUAAAAAAAUAUGAAGUUUGAAUUGCGAUUUGAUUGAGGCCGUUAAGGGUGCAAGAAACGUAAGAUUUUUUAUGUUUGAUGAGGCGUUCGUUGAUAAGUGAUUUAAAAUGUCGGCAACAGAUUCACCGGGCUUCGGCACUGUCGCUUUGGAUGGAUCACGAUGUCUCUUGAUUUAGGUUUGAUGUUUCAAGCUUUUUGUGAUCAGUGUUUUUUUGGGUUUCGAAUGCUUGCUUCUGUAAGAUUCAGUUUGUUUCGUGUUAUGGUUUUUAGUUUUUUAAAUCUUCUUUUAGUGGCUGGUUUGUAUUUCAUGGUUUCGUAGAUGUUCGGGUUACUAUGUUCUGUCAUUUGAUUGUGGGUCAUUUUGGCGAUUUCGGCUAUAUGUUGUGUGGUUUGGUAUUACAGUUUUCUUUUAUAAUACUGUUGGAGGCUAAGUAGUGUGCGUUGAUUUUUCUCAGAAUCUUGUUUUUCGUGGUUUUAGGAUUUUUAGAUUGGGUUUGGAUGUAGACCGGGCGUAGCGGUUUGUGUGUAAGGCACGGUGGUCUGAUUAAUCAUUUUAUAAAUUGUAAUUUUAUUUUUGACAUUCAAGUUACUUUUCCUAUUUAAGAGGGGAAAUAGUUAUCGCACAAAACUGCGAGUAGAUUGGUGGGGGAAUGUACCAUAUCUAAGCUCGCAACAAUUUUCUGGUCAACUCUUAUUUUUCUGAGAUUUGUAGAUAUUUUGCUUGCUUUCGGAAAUAGAUUCGAUCAUGUUCGUAAGUGACGUUUGUUCGUUCCUCGUGGCCGGUUUAAAUUGUUUAUUGCCGUUUGUUUAGUGAUUUCAUGUUAAUAAACUAUAUUGACGACGGAAUGCUAAGAGUUGGUGUCGAUAGUUGUUUUAAUUCCUGGUUCCAAUUCAUAACGUUCCAUUCAACGGGUUUUAUGGGUAAGUGUUUUUUUUCUUUAAAAAUGUGUUUCACUGCAAAUGCCAGUGACCAACAUAACAAUUUUGAUUUUUUCUGGAUACAGAGGUUUUUGAAAAACAAUUAGAUCCCGAAAGUUUUUUGUCAAGUUGCUAGUUUUUUUCCCACACAAAGAGCCACUAGAGAGCGUUAAAAUCGCCAAAAAGCGUUAAGUAUAAAAAUUAUGAACCACAAUAAUUGUAAAGUUGUUUUCUCUGACAAAUUAAAAUUGAGAUUAGUACAAGUUAUUUCUCACACAGUUUAUUACAAACCAUUAAGAAAACGAAAACAGAAAUAAAAGUUUUUAACAGGAAACAGUUCUUCGUCAUUUAAAAUAUUUUAUCUACCGGGUGAUCAAAAAUCGGCGCACCAACUAAUCUGUAUGUGGCACAGAAAUGCUUACAGACACAGUGUUAAACAAACGAGUGCAAAUAUUUUACCAUAAAUUAACAAUUAAGGGGGAGAAUACCCACGCCAAAAAGCGUUGAAUUUCAGCCAUUUUCCUCGUUGUUUUACAGCUGUUGUUAAGUAACGCUUUUGAAAGCGAUUUACCGGAUAUAUUUUUCUGUUCAGGCAAGUGUUUUAAAGUGCUGUCAGUGCUUUAUUUUAUUCAGAAAAAAACUGAAAACUGAAAAAUAAUAAUUUGAACAUUAUUUUCCUUCAACAAUGAGUGUUAAAGAGAUAAUGAACUAUUUUUUGCCCUGUAAAAAAUUGCAGCUCUGGUUCCAAAAACGUUGUGAUAUUUUCCAAACGGUAUUCUUAAAGUUGUAUUGGGGGAUCCUUUGUACAGAAGUUGUCCGUCUCACGAUAGGUUUAUUACCAGACCCUUGCCACCAUCGCAAAUUAUUUUUUAUUGUUGUCGUCUAUCUAUGUCUAUGAACCGGUUCCAGUGUCGCAUUAGAAGUUAUGAUCUUAACUAGUCGUACCAAUAUAAGAAUACUACCAUUCAAAACGGUUCUAAAAAUGUCAUUCGCGCAGAUAUGUUUGUUUCCUUAACUGGGUACCUGUUUAUCAAGGUACUGCACGUGAGAACAUUUUUACCCACAGCACCAAUUCGUUUGUAAGUGCAAGUGGGCUGAAUCAUUUCCUAUAGCGCUGCCUGUUCAAUAUAGGGUGUCCGUUUUUCAAGCUUCACCAUGGAGAUCUCAGUUAUAGUAUAAGAGAUACGAAGUCGUUUAAAUUAGGGCAAAGUUGCACUUUUUUUAUGAUGAACAAUUAUCUGAAAGAAAAUUUGAUGUAUCAAAUGCGACCUGAAAAAGGUUUGAUUGUGGAACUCGUAAAAUAAUAACUACUGCCGUAAAACAAGUUUUAUUGUUUUAAAAUACGAAUACAGAACACCAAACAAUGUUACCUCAGAAUGGAAUUUUAUCAACUAUUUUUUUAUAAACAUUACUAUUUACAAGGAAACGCGACUUGUUAAAUUUUUAACUCCAACACUAUCCUAACUUUGAUAGCCUGUAGUCUAGCUGUCUUUACACACAAAGUAUCUUUUUGUUUUGUUAGUCCUUUAGUUUGAAAAUCGGUCAGUUGCUGAUUAGUAGGAAUAUGUUUGAGAGGUACUUAUUUGGCUCUCAAAACUUUCCGUACAAAAUGGUGACGGACAUCUAUGUGUUUACUUCUUGUUUGGAAAACUGGAUUCUCUAUAGGAUGUAAUGCACUCUGACUUUUACAGUAGAUUUUUAUGUUAUCCAGUUCUUUAAAUCCCAACUCCUGGAUAAAUCUUCUAAGAUAAAUGGCCUCUUUUGGGCACUCUGCCAUGGCCAUAUUUUGCUUUUGUUGUAGACAGAGUUGCAGUACAUUAUUUUUUUGUGUCCCAGCAAAUUGCACUCCCGUUCAGCAAGAAGAUAAAUUCUGUGAAAGAUCUACGAUUUUCAGGUGGUGCUGUUCAAUUGGGUCGGAUGCUCGUCGUUUACAUUGAGAAAAACUCAAUUCUGUAAAACUUUGUUAUUGUAGGAAACGACUAAAAGUCGUAUUUUCGUUGUAGGGGAAAUAAUUGGGAUAAAGAAGUUUGUUCGACAUUAAGGUGUGUGUUGAAAAACACAGUUUAAGAAAAGGGAAACCAUUUGCCUCAGUAAAACAUAACGAUGUGGAUGGUGGGAUCAGGGAUGGAUCUGAUGGGGGUGAUCAGGGUCGAUUCGAUUCCAAAUCUCUUUAUUUUCGACAGGGUAUUUAACAAACUUAGGGCUAAUUAACAAAAGGCUUAGCGCUGUUGAUGCUUAAGGCCUAUUUAGAAUGUACAUUAGACACUUAAGAUAUUUCAUGAUUUCAAGAUGUAGACUUAAAACUAACUAACAGGGGGUGUUUUAAAUAUUUUUGUGGUUUAAUCUAAAGUUUGAGCGUUUGUCGCAAGUGGGCGUGAGUUCUAGGAGGCGGCGAAUCAGGGGGCGGUGGUCCUGUUCCUGGCAAAGAAUUGGCGGCUGGGUAUAUGAAAGGAGUAUGAAGUUUGAAUUGCGAUUUUAUUGGGGCCGUUAAGGGUACGAGAAACGCAUUUUUUUUUGUUUUAUGAGGCGUUCGGUGAUAGGGGUGAUUUAAAAUGUCGGCAACAAAGUCACCGGGUUUUUUAAGCUUGGAUGAAGAGGGCUUCAGCGGUUACGGCUUCGGCACAGUCGCUUUGGAUGGAGCGAGCCGAUGAAUUAUCUUCUCACUACCAUUACGCGACUCGAAUUACCCUGAUCAGGGUUUCAGGAUCAUACUUUCGUUUUUGCGGUAUUGAGUUUCGCACAUUCUUCCGCUUAACAUUUUAAAUCUUCUUUUGAUGGCUGGGUUGUAGUUCAUGGUUCCGUAGAUGGUCGGGUUGCUGUGUUCUGUUAUUUGAUAGUUGGCCAUUUUGGCGAUUUCGACUGUGUGUUGAAUGAGUGGUUUGGUGUUACAGAUUUCUUGUAUAAUACUGUUGAAGAUCAAGUAGGCUGCGUUGGUGAUUUUUUUCAGAAUAUUGUUUUGAGUGGUUUCAAAGAUUUUUAGAUUGGGUCUGGAUGCGGAAAUCCAAGUAGGGGCUCCGUAUGUAAGGCAAGGUCUGAUAGUAAUUUUGUAAACCGUAGUUUUAUUUUUCACUUUCAGGUUACUUUUCUUAUUUAAGAGGGGAAAUAGGUAUCGUACAAAACUGCGAAUAGAGUAGUGGGGGAAGGUACCAGAUCUAAACGCGCAGCAAUUUUCUGGUCGACUGUUAUUUUCCUGAUAUGUAUUAAGUACUUCUUGUUAGAUUUUCUUGGCGUGGAAAAUAAAUAAAACAAAGUUUAAAAACCCGACGCACCAAACCUUUAUUUGAAACGCGUUGUGUUUCAAAUAAAGGUUUGGUGUGUCGGGUUUUUAAACUUUGUUUUGUUUUAUUUGAUAUUAAGUAGUUCUUUCGCUUGCUUUAGAAAAUAGAUUCGACUAUGUUCGAAAGUGACGUUUGUUCGUUUUUCGUGACCGGUUAGUGCUUUCAUGUUAAUAAACAAUAUUAACGACGGAAUGCUAAGAGUUGGUGUCGAUAGUUGAUUUAAUUCCUGGUUUUAAUUCAUAACGUUCCAUUCAACGGGUUUUAUGGGUCGUACGCUUGUCCAUCACGCCGCCAAACGGUUCAUGAUCAUUUUACCCGCUAUAUUCUUCAAGUUAGGAAUUGCAUUCACGUUACUUAUCCUUGUAGCGUUAGCCGCUGUUAACAACGGUUUCAUCGGAUUUAUGCUUCUUGUAGUCGGACUCAGUAGCGUUCUUGCACGUUUGCAAGAUACGAGAAGAGCUGCUGCGGUUCCGGUUUCUUACAUCAGUCCUCUGCCUCCUUACCAUCAUCACGAAGUAUGGGACAGGAGUGACGUGACUGGAAACAGGAAUGACGAGACCAAAGCGAGUUAUUAUAACAGUUAUUCUGGACAAGGUGUUCAGUAUAACCCAGCUGGGGCCAGUUAUUAUGCCAAAUAUGCAAAUGCUAAAGUUUAGAUAAUUAUUUAUUUGUUGAAACUUAAUUUGUGUUAUGUUAUUUAUUGUGUAUACGUAUUUAUGUUACCUACUAAUUAUUAUUAUUUAAUAUUUUUAAUUAAACGUUAUUUCUUUUAAAA